rnacentral:rRNA from 1 species
CGAACGCUGGCGGCGUGCUUAACACAUGCAAGUCGAACGAGGUGAUUGAAGCUUGCUUUGAGAACCGAGUGGCAAACGGGUGAGUAACGCGUAGACAACCUGCCGCAAAGAUGGGGACAACAGUCCGAAAGGACUGCUAAUACCGAAUGUUGUCAGAUUCCGCAUGGGAGACUGAUUAAAGAUGGCCUCUACUUGUAAGCUAUCGCUUUGCGAUGGGUCUGCGUCUGAUUAGCUAGUUGGUGGGGUAACGGCCUACCAAGGCGACGAUCAGUAGCCGGUCUGAGAGGAUGAACGGCCACAUUGGAACUGAGACACGGUCCAGACUCCUACGGGAGGCAGCAGUGGGGAAUCUUCCGCAAUGGGCGAAAGCCUGACGGAGCAACGCCGCGUGAGUGAAGAAAGGGUUUCGGCUCGUAAAGCUCUGUUGACGGGGACGAAUGUGCAAGAUGCGAAUAGUUUCUUGCAAUGACGGUACCCGUCGAGGAAGCCACGGCUAACUACGUGCCAGCAGCGGC